rnacentral:sRNA from 1 species
AGAGGGGGUGAGGUGCUACCUACUCCCCGAAACAUGAUGUGCAGGUUUUUUUAACUGUUGGUUUGCUUUAAGUGUCUUGUAUUGGAUCAGUCAGUCAUCAUGACUUUGAAAUAUAGUCUGUAGAAGUAAGCAAAGUAACUGUAUUUUAACAGUAGUAUAAUACUAGUGUUUACCUUUAUAUAUUUACAUAGUCAGUUCAACCGAUGGGUGUUAUUCUUCUGAUUUCAAGCUGGUAGAAAGGAGCUUAGUAGAAGAGCUAUUGGCGGAGAGAAAUUUGGGGAAAGAGUAUGCCUCUGUGGUUCUCAAUGACAAAAGAUAUCUUGAGCUAAAACAAGAGUUAUACAAAUUGGAAGAAACUUUAAAAGUGGAUGCGUGGCACGCAAACGAUCAGAGGAAUCAAGUCUUUGGAGGUAAAUGUAAGAAAUGGUUCAAUCAUAUGUGCCUUGGAGG